AGGGUGCCAUCUACGCGUCAAAAAAUUCCCUGCAAUGAACUCGCUCACCAAAUCAUCAGGUGGACACCUCAUACCCCUCACCACAUCGUCU